rnacentral:rRNA from 1 species
AUUGAACGCUGGCGGCAGGCUUAACACAUGCAAGUCGAGCGGAGUGAUGGUGCUUGCACUAUCACUUAGCGGCGGACGGGUGAGUAAUGCUUAGGAAUCUGCCUAUUAGUGGGGGACAAGAUCUCGAAAGGGAUGCUAAUACCGCAUACGUCAUACGGGAGAAAGCCGGGGAUCACUUGUGACCUUGCGCUAAUAGAUGAGCCCAAGUCGGAUUAGCUAGUUGGUGGGGUAAAGGCCUACCAAGGCGACGAUCUGUGGCGGGUCUGAGAGGAUGAUCCGCCACACUGGGACUGAGACACGGCCCAGACUCCUACGGGAGGCAGCAGUGGGGAAUAUUGGACAAUGGGGGGAACCCUGAUCCAGCCAUGCCGCGUGUGUGAAGAAGGCCUUAUGGUUGUAAAGCACUUUAAGCGAGGAGGAGGCUCUUUUGGUUAAUACCCAAGAUGAGUGGACGUUACUCGCAGAAUAAGCACCGGCUAACUCUGUGCCAGCCGCCGCAGUAA